UCCACGCAGUAAACGAUGAAUGUUAGUCGUCGGGUACGGCUAGUCUAUUCGGUGAUGCAGCUAACGCAUUAAACAUUCCGCCUGGGGAGUACGGUCGCAAGAUUAAAAACUCAAAGGAAUAGACGGGGACCCGCACAAGUGGUGGAGCAUGUGGUUUAAUUCGAAAAUACGCGAAGAACCUUACCUAGCCUUGACAUAUUUUAGAACCCUCCAGAGAUGGAAGAGUGCC
rnacentral:rRNA from 1 species